rnacentral:rRNA from 2 species
UAAGCGGAGGAAAAGAAACUAACAAGGAUUCCCCUAGUAACGGCGAGUGAAGUGGGAAAAGCUCAACUUUGUAAUCUGGCUGUCUUUGGCAGUCCGAGUUGUAGUCUAGAGAAGUGUUAUCCGCGCAGACCCUUAUAGAUUUCGGUUGGAAUGCCAAGUCAAAGAGGGUGAGAAUCCCGUAUUUGAUAAGGUGGUCUUGUGCAUUGUGAUACAUUUUCAAAGAGUCGAGUUGUUUGGGAAUGCAGCUCAAAGUGGGUGGUAAAUUCCAUCUAAAGCUAAAUAUUGGCGAGAGACCGAUAGCGAACAAGUACCGUGAGGGAAAGAUGAAAAGCACUUUGGAAAGAGAAUGAAAUAGUACCUGAAAUUGCUGAAAGGGAAACGAGUGAAGUUAGACUUGCGCAGUUGGUAUUCAGCCUUGGCUUCGGUCUUGGUGCAUUUGCCUUCUAUUGCAGGCCAACAUCAGUUUACUUUGCGGUAAAAGGGUUUUGGGAAUGUGGCUUCUUCGGGAGUGUUAUAGCCCUUUACUGGAUGCCGAAUCGUAGACUGAGGAACGCAGCGCGCCUUUAUGGCAAAGCUUUCAAGCUUCGAGCGCUUAGGAUGUUGGUAGAAUAGCUUUACACGACCCGUCUUGAAACACG